UUCUUCUAUUCCCAUUGAAUUACUUGAAUUGUCAGAGAAAGAAACAGAGUAUAGUCCAGAAUCAUGGAAUAAAAUUAGUCAAUGCAGCUGAGUUAUGUUCAUUCAGUUUUUAAAAUCUUAAUCCUGAUUGUGAAAUUGAGCUUUUUUUAGUUUUAAUUAGAUCCUAAUUAUGUUCCCAUGAAAUAUUUAGUUUAACCAUUAUGACUAAUUAAUUCUUUAUUGUUCAUUGUUUAAAGAUUAAUUCAUUGAUGAAUAAUUCUAAAUGGUUAACAGGCUUCACUGUAACAGAAGAUGUG
rnacentral:misc_RNA from 1 species